GUCCCGUGGAACACCAAGGCGGCCGGGGAACUCCACCGAGACUUACUUGUUUUCCAUGUUUAAUGAGAACAUGAAGCCUGGUGCAGCAGUGGAGCAACACUGGGGUCUCUUUCAUCCCAACAAGUGGCCCGUUUAUCCAAUCAGUUUCCUGUGAACAAAAAUUAAAGAACAAAGCAUGGUUUCAGUAAUUUAUGUGGUUAUACAGUUAGGAUUUGUUAUUUAUUUUCAUAAUUAGGAUGUAAUUUGUCUCUAAACAUUGCAACAUUAUUAGAUUUCUUGUCACCAGCCAAAAGUUUGAGUUUAUUUAAGCAUUAUCCAAUUUUGAUUUUCUCCUACUUUGUUUUUUGGUCUGUUUUUCUCUCCUACGUUUGACUUGAGAAUCGAUGAUGCAAUUGAUUCAGCUAAGCACCAAAUGAAGAACUUCAACAAUACAUUGACAACAGGAACCAGACUUUUACUAUUAUAUGCUUAAUUAACCACACUCAAAUUGAAGUCCAUAGAAUUCAACCAUUAACAAACUAAAAGUAAAGAGAUAAGCAGAUGCAGAUGAAAAACGGGUACCAGAGGGUUUUGUACCAAACGACCAUGAUCGCCGAAAAUCGGCGAACUUGUAGAAGGUGGCCACCACUAUAAUCUGUGAAUCCGAGUUAUUCAACUCGGGCAAGCUCGAAAUCGGUACUGGAACGGUGGGCCCAGAGAAGCACCUGAAAAGUCUCGUGCUUUGACGGACGCCAUGAAAUUCACCUGGAAAGUCUAAUUGGGUUAAAUCAAAGAACAGUUGAAGAUGAAAAUUUGACGGUUCCUAAAUUGAAAGAGGGUGGGGGUGAAAUCUAGGGUUACGGUUUAUAGAGAAGGUGAUGAGGUGUUCGAAAAAUCAGUCUAGGCGACCACCUAGGAGCUAGGCGGGAGGACACCGCCACGAUUUACCCCUAAUCGUUAGGGGCAGGCGCCAGGGACUUAGGCGGCGCCUAGGCGGGUCUGGGCGCCUCGGCAGACUGCUGAAGGAACAAAGAAGAAGAGGAACGAAGAUCAAGAUCACGCCGUCCACCUGGCAGCCACCUUAACGUUUGAUUAAUCGAAAUAUGUCCUCAAACGUUGUAAGGGCAUUUUUGACUUUUCGAAUUUCAUUUGUGCUGUUUAGUUUUCCACAUCCAACAGUCCAAAAGUCAUCUGCCG
rnacentral:lncRNA from 1 species